AUAAGUGAAUAAAUCCUAAUUUUAGCAUGUCUAUUUUUUCUCACUCGUUAAGUAAAUAGAUUUUAUAUCUAUUUUAAUAACGCUUCUUGCACGCACUUUAUUAAAUAGUCGGAAUUAAUAUUAAAAUGCUCAUACAACGUUCUAAAAGGCGCUGACUCUCCAAAACCCUUCACACCAAUAAAAAUGCCAUUUGAUCCUAUAUAUUUAUGCCAGCCAAUAUCGCUUCCUGCUUCAAUUGCAACUUUUAUACUAUUAUUAUUUGA